rnacentral:misc_RNA from 1 species
UUUGUGCGGCCGACUAUUGGCGCCGUGUCUUGCCAUUUGUGUGAGCUAUCUUACUUUGCCUUUCAAGUGCUUGCGAGAUGUUACCUGACUUAUGGGUAUUGGUGCUUCAUACAUAGUUGCCUCGUGGUGGACGCCUUUGGGUGUGCUGCUGCGGCCAUAUGGCGAUUGUGGCGUUGCCUCGUGGUGCUGGUUCUCGUGCCCGGUGCUAUCAAGGCAGCCUUGCUCUCGUUAAUGGUUUUGGAUGUCGCUCAUGAUAUAUAUCCUCGUGGCCCAUUUGGUUGCCUCGGGGCUUGACCCUAAGAAYGCUCUCCGACUUUGAGAACAUCGUUGAACGAAUGUUGCCUCUACCUUUCCACAACAAAUGGAAGGAUUACGCAGCAGACUCGAGUCCGAUCCCCAAAUAAGUCGGACGAGCAAGACCCUAAGAAUGCUCUCUGACUUUGAGAACAUCGUUGAACGAAUGUUGCCUCUACCUUUCCACAGCAAGUGGCAAGGAUUACGCAGCAUACUCGAUUCCGAUCCCCAAAUAAGUCGGACGAGCUUGGCCCGCUCAACAGCGACAAGCGGCCCGAU